rnacentral:rRNA from 1 species
CGCCCUCUGGCCCAUAAAUAUAACAUAGAGGGUCCUGCCUGCCCAGUGACAAAAAAGUUAAACGGCCGCGGUAUCUUGACCGUGCGAAGGUAGCAUAAUCACUUGUCUCCUAAAUAGAGACUGGUAUGAAUGGCAAGACGGAACUUAACUGUCUCCUUUUCUCAUAUCCUAAUUUCACUUUCCCGUGAAGAGGCGGGAAAACAUUCGCUAGACGAGAAGACCCUGUCGAGCUUAAGCAGAACGCUAAUUUCUAGUUCCUCUUAAUUACAUUCUAAUUUUUUUCUGUUAAAUUUAACUAAGAGAAAAUUAUUAGUACAAGCUUUGGUUGGGGCAACCACGGAGAAGAAAAAUCCUCCGCUUACAACAGAUAAAAACAAGACCCUACAAGUCUAAUAUUGUAUAAACAAGUCAACUGAUCCACCACGGUGAUCAAAGGAAAAAGUUACCGCAGGGAUAACAGCGUUAUCUUUUCUGAGAGUUCACAUUGACGAAAAGGUUUGCGACCUCGAUGUUGGAUCGGGACAUCCUAAGGGUGCAGAAGCUUUUAAGGGUUGGUCUGUUCGACCAUUAAAGUCCU